rnacentral:lncRNA from 1 species
GGCCUCUGACUACGGUGCGAUACCUUUACCGCGGUCGCUCGCCGGCUCACUCGGUCCCAGCUCUGUGGAAAUAGUGGGGUGAGAACUACAACAAAGUUCCCAGUGGGUUCGGCCUCAACAUCACCGACUUUCCCACUAGGACUAACUCAGGCAUAAUAGAAAGGAUAAGCAGGAUAUAGUAACCAAUCUACAACAUGAUGCUAAUAUGGCUGAACAAAAGCAAGGAAUAUGCUCAACAUUAACAUAUGCAGAUUAUGCAUGUUCUUUAGUUCUUUGCACUUUACACUUUGUUCUUUACUCUUUGUUCUUUACUCUUUGUUCUUUAAUCAUUAAGGCUAGCCCGGGGGCUUCGCCACAUUAACUUGCUUCACAUUAAGUCCAUCAUCGCAGGAACUCACCAGCUAGGACCGUCCUUAC